UACGUAGGUGGCUAGCGUUGUCCGGAUUUACUGGGCGUAAAGAGCGCGCAGGCGGUCGUUCAAGUCGCGUGUGAAAGCCCCCGGCUCAACUGGGGAGGGUCACGCGAUACUGAUCGACUCGAAGGCAGGAGAGGGAAGUGGAAUUCCCGGUGUAGCGGUGAAAUGCGUAGAGAUCGGGAAGAACAUCGGUGGCGAAAGCGCUCUACUGGACCGCAACUGACACUCAGGGACGAAAGCUAGGGGAGCGAAUGGG
rnacentral:rRNA from 1 species